rnacentral:lncRNA from 1 species
GACAGAAGCCCAACAUCGAAACAUAAUUCUAGUUCAAUCCCCAUUUCUAGGGUUUCUCCUCAUCUCCCCCACCAAUCACUCUCUCCUAUUCCUGGUAAAUUUCUCUUUCCAAUUGCGCGUUUCAAUUUUUCUCUAUUUGUACAUAAUUUUAGUGCCUUUAAAAAAAAAAAAAAUUUGACUUUAUCUAUUGCUUUAAUGUUAGACUAUCUUCUACGAAUGCUUAGAUUAAUAUUAUUCUUGUAAAUAAAUCGAAUUCUUCGAUAUGAUCUCGAAUUAUGGUGUAAUAAUAUCUGGUUUCAGUUUUGGCUCUAGCUGAGCUUGUCAUCAAUUUUCGGUUAUGGGUGUAAUAAAUAAUUCGGAUCUUUUUUUGGAUAAUGUCACGGUGAUUAAUUAUAUGAAGUUCACAACCAUUUUAACUUGUAUUUGGAACAUUCAAUUCUACCUUUCUUGGACAAAUUUUUAGACCAUACUUCUCGCACUAUGUUAUAUGCAUGUAACGUUCCAAGUAAUCACAAUUCUGGCUUUUGCAGCUGUGACAAGUCCGUUCAACAUGUAACCAAUAAACGAAUUGCUGAAAAAAGCUUGAUUUGAGUGGUUAAUAAUAAUGGUGCUUGUUAUUACUUAAAUUCCUUUUCCUUGUAAUUUUGAAAGUUUACAAACCUAAACCAUAUUGUAUCUACUGAAAUAUACAAAAUCGAACUAUUUUGUUUGGAUAAUUCAAUGUUAAUUUAUAAGUUCCUCACCCUGCGGCAAAUUAGAUGGACUUUUGUUUCAAUUUCAAUAGAGGGUCGUGUUUUCCAGUAACUUUACAAUUUACAUUACAGCAAUAUUUCAGUAUAUGCAUAACAAUUCAUAUACCAUACUUCUGUGCAUUUUUUUAUUUACUGGGGCAAUUGACAACAAUUAGAUAAGAAAAGGGAUUCUAAUUAGAGUAGAUAAGAAAAGGGAUCAUAAUUAGAACUUGUGACAGAAGGCAACAACAAUUAGAUUAGAUAAGAAAAGGGAUUCUGAUUAUACAGCUAGCUAAAAGAGUGGUGGAGCCUCAGGUGGAUCCUGUACAUUCUUCUUCUUAAAAUAAAUUGUUUUCUGCAGGAAAAAAUUACAAGCAAAAAUAGUAGGAAGCUAUAACUUUUAGGCAAGGAACCUUCGUUGAUAUAUGAAAUUAUUAAUCAAAGAAUAAGAGGAACCAUGCAUGUAUGCUUGCCAUAAUAACAUGUAACAAACCCUUUUAAAGACAUCAAGGUUGUCUAUGUUCAGAGUUUCCGCACUAAAUAAACCUUAGUUUUCCGACACAAUACAUCCCUUGACAAUGAGGAUGCAGUUCACCUCUAUAAGUCGAUAAACUUUGUUAAUUAUAAGAAGAUUCACAGUGAUUUAUUACUAUUUUAUUUGUGUCCAUAAUGCUAGUGUAUCUAUCAAAACUUUUCACUUUUAUAUGAAAUAAAUAUCAGUUGUGGCUGAAAAUUAUGCAAGUACUUGGAGUGAAUUGUAGGGGGAUACAUUUUUAGUUAUUUGGCUGCGAGUAAAAAAAAUUUGUUGGAGUAGUUUUUGAUUUACAACUAGAUCCUGAAAGGAAUGAGUUAUUCAAAAUUGAUCAUUUUCUGGGAGCUAGAAUAUUAACGAAAGAUAUUAUUGUGUAAUGAGGCGUAUGUAGUUGGUCGCACUCUUUAUAUGGAACAUCCAUUCACCCAUUACAUUCUACAUGCCAUUCGUAAGUAGUCAAAGCCUUUUUGUGUGUGUAUCCAGAAAGUAUGACUUGGAUACAUGUUAUGAACAUAUGAUUAAAACUAUACUUAGUAGGGUUAUAUGAGUUACCCAUUUCAAGAAGAUGCUGGUAUCUUUUUUAUUUGUGUUGUGUUGGACUCGUUUAUGGUAUUUUUCUUGAUGGUUAGCUAUUAUAUUUUUAAUGGCAUCCGCAAAUAGGUAUUUUUACUGAACACGAUUUCCCACACAGUUGGUUUCUGAUUCUGUAAUUGAUAAUCAGGUAGUUAUUAUUGCAGCUGCCAAAUUAUUGAAUGCAAUUUCCUUUCUGUCCCUUCAACAGAGAAAACGAAAAAGAAAGAAAAGCUCUUAUUGCAUUAGAUAACGGGAUACAAUUUAAAUAGGCACUCAUCUUUAAAGAAAUGUAUAAAGUGGAGUUAUUAUCCCAUUUAACCAUUCUGACUAGUCACUUUUUUCCCCAUUCUGAUUAAUCACUUGAUCUCUUGAAGUUCCAUGCCAUGGCAAAGAGGAAGCUUAUAUUGAUUUGUCAGUCUGGUGGUGAGUUUAUGACCAAUGAUGACGGGACCUUAUCAUACAAAGGAGGAGAAGCAAAUGCUGUAAAUAUCAAUGACGAAACUCAGUUUGAUGAUCUGAAAUUGAAAUUGGCUGAAAUGUGUAAUUUGAAUUAUGGGACAAUCUCAAUCAAGUAUUUCCUCCCGGGAAACAGUAGAAAUCUCAUCACACUAAGAAAUGACAAGGAUCUACAAAGGAUGAUUGAUUUUCAUGGGAUUUCAGUGACUGCUGAUAUCUUUGUUAAUGGAAAAGAAGGAUUUGACCGAGAUGCUCUCAAAGUACAGGAAAGCAGGUAUAUGUUUGAGUUGCACCUUGUUAUAUUAACUGCUUCCUUAAAUGCGUUUCCUGUUUUCAAUAUGAAUUUUCUGCUGUAAUUCCAGCUUGUUGGCAAUCCAUAUGCACCACCUUUGAGCAGUGAUAAAUAAUGUUGACAAAUCACUAGAUUGCCAACACUUUUUGAGAAAGUGAGACUCAUCAGCUCUAUAGAUUCAUGAUGUGGUGAUUGGUUGCUGACACCUGGCUGGCUAUUAUAUUUAGCUCCUUUUUGGUCCCCAUAUUUUAGAAACCCCCCCCCCCCCCCCCUCAUUUUCAACCGGAUCCACUACUUUUAUCAACUUUUCAACCAAACAUUUAAUCUACUUUUAUCAAAAUCUAAAAUCUACUAAAAAACUGAUUUUUAGCAUAGCCAAACAGGGGCUUACUAACAUGCUCGUAUAAAUUCAUCAAUAAAACUUGGCAGGGGGAGCGACAUAAAACUGGCUGAGACUGUGAGCCCUGUUUCACCCUCAGCUAAUGCUAAACGGGUUGUCAAUGAUGUGCAACCGUGUGCUUCCCGUGCUAAUGCUGCACCUAAUGAUGCUGUCUCUCCUGUUUAUGCUCCUGGUUCUACUGUAGCAGCUGGUGCAACUGCUAAGAGAUCGGGACCCAGUAGAGCAUCAACUGCCUCAAUCCCCUCUUCUGGCCCUGGUGCUGACUAUGAUUCGGCCUAUGCACCGCUUGUCGAGCUUGCUGUUCAUGCAGCUGCUCAGACCUCAACUGGCCUUCCUACAGGUGGUAGCCCAGCAGAUACUGUUAAGAAGCGAAGGCGCAUGGCCUUACAAAAAAUUGGUUCCUGUGGACCCACUACUUCAGUCGCUGAUAAUGGCAGGAAAAGAAGAUCUAGGAAGAAAAAUAUCUCUGCAGUCAAUGACAACUUGGAGAAGCAUCAAAGAUAUAAUUCUCUGGGGAAUGAUGAUCAUGAAAUCCUAUCUGUUCGUGAUGAUGACUUGCCAGAAAACCUAGUUUUGUCAUGGAAAGAUUAUAUUACGGGGGUGGGCCAGGAGUUCAAAAGUGUGAAAGAGUUCCGGGAGGCACUGCAGAAGUAUGCUAUUGCGCACCGCUUUGUAUAUAAGUUGAAAAAGAAUGAUACUAUUCGUGCUCGUGGCAUAUGCGCUGCAGAAGGAUGUUCUUGGAAGAUUCAUGCAUCUAGGGAUUCUACAUCUCAGUCAUUUCAGAUUAAAAAGUUCAACAAUACACAUACAUGUGGUGGGGAAUCUUGGAAGAAUGAAAACCCAGCAAAGAAGUGGUUGGUUGGUGUUAUAAAGAACAAGUUACGUGAGUCCCCACAUCACAAAACCAAGGAAAUUGCUAACAGCAUCUCGCAGGACUUUGGAAUUCAAUUAACAUAUACACAAGUGCGGCGUCGAAUUAGGGAUGCCAGAGAGCAACUUCAGGGUUCAUAUAAGAAGUCUUACAAUUGGUUGCCUUGGUUCUGCAAGACAGUGGUGGAAACAAAUCCUGGUAGUAUUGUCAAGCUUGUCACUAAUUAUGAGAAAAGACUUCGGUGCCUUUUUGUGUCAUUUUAUUCUUCUAUACAUGGCUUCCACGGUGGUUGCCGUCCCAUUCUUUUUCUUGAAUCUACAUCUCUACGAUCGAAGUACCGAGAAAUUUUGUUGACUGCAACUGCAGUCGAUGCAGACGAUGGUUUCUUCCCGGUUGCAUUUGCUAUAGUUGAUGUUGAAACCAAGGAUAACUGGCUAUUGUUUCUGAAGCAACUAAAAUCUGCAAUGUCAACUUCACAAUCCAUAACAUUUGUCUCAGAUAGAGAGAAGGGGUUAAAGCAGUCUAUUCUUGAGGUAUUCGAGAAUUCUUGCCACGGUUAUUCCAUUUUCCACCUUAUGAAAAGUUUCAAGAGGAACAUGAAAGGGCCAUUCCAUGGGGAUGGAAGAUGUGUCCUACCUGAAAGUUUUCUAGCCGCUGCCCAUGCUGUCCGACUUAAUGAUUUCAAAAUGUUCACAGAGCAAAUUAGACAGAUCUCGUCACAUGUUUAUGAUUGGGUUAUUCAAAUUGAACCCGAGAACUGGACUCGUUUGUCAUUCAAAGGUGAGCAGUAUAAUCAUAUCACACAGAAUGUUGCAGAAUCAUACACUAAGCUGAUGGAGGAAAAACGGGAAUUAACUAUAAUGCAGAAGAUAGAAGCCCUGAGGAGCAUGAUGAAUGAGUUGAUAAAUAAUCGUCAAAUGGAAUCGAGUAAAUGGACGACAAAACUCACUCCCUCGAAAGAGAAAUUGAUGCAAGAAGCUGUUCUUAAAGCAUUUGGACUGAGAGUCUUUGCCUCGUCAGAUACUCUGUUUGAGGUCCAUGAUAAUUCUACUCAUGUUGUGAAUAUUGAAAAGCGGGAAUGUACAUGCCUAGAGUGGAAAGAAAGUGGGCUUCCAUGCUACCAUGCUAUUGCUGCCUUAAACUGUGCAGGGAAGAAUGUUUAUAACUACUGUUCAAGAUAUUUUACCACUGAGACUUACCAAUCAACGUAUUCGAAGUCUAUAAAUCCUAUUCCUGGCAUUGAUAAGCCCAUACGAAAAGAAAAUGGCGAUUCAGAUACCAUGGAAGUGCUUCCUCCUUGUCCCCCUCGUAUGCCAAAUCAACACAAGGAAGAAGAGAGCAAUUCAGAGAAUCCGGAUAAGAAGACUGUCACUUGUACCAGGUGCAAGCAGCUCGGGCAUAACAAAGCUUCAUGCAAAGAAGAUAUAUAGCUUCCAUGUUUGGCCUUCUUUGUGUAUACACCGUAUAUAAGCCUGGUUACUCCUAAGCUAUAAGCGGUUUGGCCGAGUUGGUGCAGUUCUAGUAGGUCAUUGAAGACGCUAGUUUUAAACAGAUACUUGCUUUAGUCUUAUGAUUGAAGCACUUUUAUUUAGUUUGCAGAAUAUAUUAUGUUAAUUGAGUUGUCUUUUUAUUAGUAUGCUCUUGUUUGGUAAAGUUUCUUUUAGAUUUUAAGCAAUCAAAAUAUUUUUUUAACCACAUAUAUUAUAGAUUCACAAUUUUUAUUUAUUUUUUAACGGAC